CAGGCUUAACACAUGCAAGUCGAGGGGCAGCAUGGUCUUAGCUUGCUAAGACUGAUGGCGACCGGCGCACGGGUGAGUAACACGUAUCCAACCUGCCGUCUACUCUUGGACAGCCUUCUGAAAGGAAGAUUAAUACAAGAUGGCAUCAUGAGUCCGCAUGUUCACAUGAUUAAAGGUAUUCCGGUAGACGAUGGGGAUGCGUUCCAUUAGAUAGUAGGCGGGGUAACGGCCCACCUAGUCUUCGAUGGAUAGGGGUUCUGAGAGGAAGGUCCCCCACAUUGGAACUGAGACACGGUCCAAACUCCUACGGGAGGCAGCAGUGAGGAAUAUUGGUCAAUGGGCGAGAGCCUGAACCAGCCAAGUAGCGUGAAGGAUGACUGCCCUAUGGGUUGUAAACUUCUUUUAUAAAGGAAUAAAGUCGGGUAUGGAUACCCGUUUGCAUGUACUUUAUGAAUAAGGAUCGGCUAACUCCGUGCCAGCAGCCGCGGUAAUACGGAGGAUCCGAGCGUUAUCCGGAUUUAUUGGGUUUAAAGGGAGCGUAGAUGGAUGUUUAAGUCAGUUGUGAAAGUUUGCGGCUCAACCGUAAAAUUGCAGUUGAUACUGGAUAUCUUGAGUGCAGUUGAGGCAGGCGGAAUUCGUGGUGUAGCGGUGAAAUGCUUAGAUAUCACGAAGAACUCCGAUUGCGAAGGCAGCCUGCUAAGCUGCAACUGACAUUGAGGCUCGAAAGUGUGGGUAUCAAACAGGAUUAGAUACCCUGGUAGUCCACACGGUAAACGAUGAAUACUCGCUGUUUGCGAUAUACUGCAAGCGGCCAAGCGAAAGCGUUAAGUAUUCCACCUGGGGAGUACGCCGGCAACGGUGAAACUCAAAGGAAUUGACGGGGGCCCGCACAAGCGGAGGAACAUGUGGUUUAAUUCGAUGAUACGCGAGGAACCUUACCCGGGCUUAAAUUGCAGAUGAAUUACGGUGAAAGCCGUAAGCCGCAAGGCAUCUGUGAAGGUGCUGCAUGGUUGUCGUCAGCUCGUGCCGUGAGGUGUCGGCUUAAGUGCCAUAACGAGCGCAACCCUUGUUGUCAGUUACUAACAGGUUCCGCUGAGGACUCUGACAAGACUGCCAUCGUAAGAUGUGAGGAAGGUGGGGAUGACGUCAAAUCAGCACGGCCCUUACGUCCGGGGCUACACACGUGUUACAAUGGGGGGUACAGAGGGCCGCUACCACGCGAGUGGAUGCCAAUCCCCAAAACCUCUCUCAGUUCGGACUGGAGUCUGCAACCCGACUCCACGAAGCUGGAUUCGCUAGUAAUCGCGCAUCAGCCACGGCGCGGUGAAUACGUUCCCGGGCCUUGUACACACCGCCCGUCAAGCCAUGGGAGCCGGGGGUACCUGAAGUGCGUAACCACGAGGAGCGCCCUAGGGUAAAACUGGUGACUGG
rnacentral:rRNA from 1 species